ACAGUAUUAAGGCAUGCACUGAGCACAAUUACAAUAGUUACUAACAAGAAAAAAUAAGACUUGAUGAUCCCGAGCAAAAUCUCAGCUGUAAUAAUACUGGGAGGUGAAAAUUUACAAAGCAAAGACACUAUGAUUUUGACCUAGCUAUUCUACCUAUCUUGCCUAUGCUUUCUAGUCCAGUGUUGCGUAAGACAGCUCUAUUGGCUCAACAGAGUUCCCCAGCAGGGGAAAUCAUGCUUGAGGAAACUAAGUUUAACACGCAUUUUCAAGGCAUGCCAACCACGAAACUCUCAGUUGAUCUUGGGCUUGGCUCUUCUAGGCUUUAGCACAAACCAAAGAACGAAGAAAACAACGAGGAAAGCAGGUAUUGUUGUCAUGUCAAACUCGACCUUAACUUCUCUUCGACGGGUGCAAUGUACUGGAUGGAGACUUGCUAGAGUUGUAUCGACAUAAUUUACAAACCCUUUUGAUGCAUCCUCUAAGGUAUAGAGAAGUCUCAAGGCAUCCAGAUAACGCAGUUCCCCACUGACAGUUGAAAUUCUUCUCCACAAGCUAACAACAUAGUUGUAUUUGUUCACCAACUCGCGCUCGUGGGUUUUAAAGAGCUUAAAAGUCUGUUCUGAUGUCCGCUCCAUAACAAGGCGAUGAAUAGCCGAAUUGACCAAUUGAACAGACUCUUCAAGUGCUGUCAAUACAUAGCUUCGAGCAACAGUGUCUGAAUGGAAUUUGGAGAUAUGCCAGCCUUGGGAAGUGAUGGAUAGAGGAUUGCAUCCAACUGACCAGAUCCAGUCCUCAAUUGCAGUUUCA
rnacentral:misc_RNA from 1 species